UACGUAGGGUGCGAGCGUUAAUCGGAAUCACUGGGCGUAAAGCGACCGCAGGCGGCCUGACAAGUCGGAUGUGAAAGCCCUGGGCUCAACUCAGGAAUUGCAUUCGAAACUGGCAGGCUCGAGUACGGGAGAGGGGGGUGGAAUUCCUGGUGUAGGGGUGAAAUUCGUUGAUAUCAGGAGGAACACCGGCGGCGAAGGCGGCCCCCUGGCCCGCAACUGACGCUCAUGGUCGAAAGCGUGGGGAGCAAACAGG
rnacentral:rRNA from 1 species